UAUCUCUGUAGAGUCUGCAUAUCAAUAAGCGGAGGAAAAGAAACUAACAAGGAUUCCCCUAGUAACGGCGAGUGAAGCGGGAAGAGCUCAAAUUUGAAAUCUUCAAGGUUCUACCUUGACGAAUUGUAGUUUAAAGAAGUGUUUUCGGUUAGAGGAGUAGUAAAAGUUCUUUGGAAUAGGACAUCAUAGAGGGUGAGAAUCCCGUAUUUGACUAUUCUUUCUAGCUUUGUGAUACACUUUCAAAGAGUCGGAUUGUUUGGGAAUGCAGUCCAAAAUGGGUGGUAAAUUUCAUCUAAAGCUAAAUAUUGGCGAGAGACCGAUAGCGAACAAGUACCGUGAGGGAAAGAUGAAAAGAACUUUGAAAAGAGAGUUAAACAGUACGUGAAAUUGUCAAAAGGGAAGCGUUUGACACCAGUGUUGUUUUUUCCGAAAAUCAAUUAAAAAUUGAUUCAUGCCAGGUUGUAUUGACCUUAUCAGCUUGCAAUUUGGUUUUGGGUCUCUUUUUGAUGCACUUUUCGGUUAACAAGUCAACAUCAAUUUCCUUUGCUGUAAAAAGGUAAGAGGAAGGUGGCUUCAAUUUCGGUUGAAGUGUUUAUAGCCUUUUAUCUCUGCAGUCGGGGAGAUUGAGGUCUGCAGCGUAGAUCCUUCGGGGCUAGAUACAUUUAUGCUAAGUUAUAGCUUUUCAUAGACAACUUGUUGACUAUGUUUAGUCAUGUAGCUUACUCGUAAGUGCUAUUUUACCUACGCUUAGGAUGUUGA
rnacentral:rRNA from 1 species